rnacentral:lncRNA from 1 species
AUGAGUCCCUGUGAGUUACCUGUAUCUCCUGGGGCUCGAGCUGGUGUGCUUUGCAUGGAGACAAGCUGCUGGGCUUCAGAGGAUGCUUUGCACCCUGGUGGACACAUUACUCCAGCUCUCCUCAUUUUGCAGGUAGCUGCAGAGACGCAUCCUAUACGUGUUCAGUGGAGCCAGUUGAAUUAUAUGUUUAGAGUAAUUCAUCAGAUAAAUUCACAUCCAUGAAUAAUCUGCAUUCAGAUCACGACCUUUACCAAGCUGUGCAUUUUCCGGGGCUCCAAGCUCUCAGCUGAUGCUGAGCAGUGACAAGAGGAGCACAGAGACAUUUUUCAUCAUCUCCUCCACUCCAGAAACAGUCUCACUUUAGGAGCAAGGCAGAAAAGCCUCAGUCCCAGGGGAUGCCCUAGGGAAUGUUCUGAAAUGGAAAGAAUGAUUUUUUUUUUUUUUUUUUGAGGAUGGGAGGCAGCUGCUCCCAGCCAGGGCGCUGCUGUUGCCUCUUGUCCAUAAGCCUGGGCUGCUGAGGAGCCACUGUCCAGAUGAUGGAUCGUUCUAGAGCGGUUAAAUUUUGUCUCUCCGUUGCUGGACUCUGGGAAAUGAGGCAGGGCGGUGCAUCCAGCUGAUGUAGGUCCACAUAUGUUCAUUCUCCAAAACAGCUGGCUGCUUAGCCUGGCACUAACCUGACGGGAAAGCACUACAGCAGCAGCUCGCUGAUGGCAGCUCUUGCUGUGAGAGCUGAACUCAUUUUGCACACCUUAGCGCAUUAGAGAGAAGAUACAAUUAAAAUAGUGUGUCAGGCACCGUGGGCAGAGCUUAGAGGAAUGCAGAUGAGAGCUACAAGCUGUUGUAAGCCCUGUAGCAUCCUACACGUGGAUGUACACAAGGAGUACGUUCUACUCCUCAUGCCAAAAAUUGGAAAGGAAAUGAAAUAGCUGGAAAGCAACAGGGCUGUGUUGUUUCAGGAACAAGCCAGAGAUUUCCAUGUAGUAAAUAUUGCUAAGUGCCCUUGGCCACAGCAGGCAAGAGAUUUGAUUCACCUUUCAGAUAGGGAUUUAAAUAACUUCGUAUCAGAAAUGAAAUAAUGUAACAGCUUGCACCACAUUCCUCUCACAGCUAUGGAGAAGUUCGGACCUUUGUCUCUUAAUACUAGGUACAUUUGAUCCUAGUGAUUUUUAGAAGUGCAUUUUUAGUAUUUUAAUGUCAUUUGCUUUCAGUAGUUCCACAGAGC